GACAGAGGGUGCAAACGUUGUUCGGAAUUACUGGGCGUAAAGCGCGUGUAGGCGGCAGCGCAAGUCGGAUGUGAAAUCCCAUGGCUCAACCAUGGAAGUGCACCCGAAACUGCGUCGCUAGAGUCCUGGAGAGGAAGGUGGAAUGCUUGGUGUAGAGGUGAAAUUCGUAGAUAUCAAGCGGAACACCGGUGGCGAAGGCGGCCUUCUGGACAGUGACUGACGCUGAGGCGCGACGGCGUGGGGAGCAAACCGG
rnacentral:rRNA from 1 species